UGGGGAAUAUUGCACAAUGGAGGGAACUCUGAUGCAGCGACGCCGCGUGAACGAAGAAGGCUUUCGAGUCGUAAAGUUCUUUUAUAUGGGAAGAUAAUGACGGUACCAUAAGAAAAAGCCCCGGCUAACUACGUGCCAGCAGCCGCGGUAAUACGGAAGGUCCAGGCGUUAUCCGGAUUUAUUGGGUUUAAAGGGAGCGUAGGCUGUUUGUUAAGCGUGUUGUGAAAUGUAAGAGCUGAACUUUUAGAUUGCAGCGCGAACUGGCAGACUUGAGUGCGCACAACGUAGGCGGAAUUCAUGGUGUAGCGGUGAAAUGCUUAGAUAUCAUGACGAACUCCGAGUGCGAAGGCAGCUUACGGGAGCGCAACUGACGCUAAAGCUCGAAGGUGCGGGUAUCGAACAGG
rnacentral:rRNA from 1 species